GGCCACGUGACCGAGCGGCUAGGUAGCGGUCUGCAAAACCGCGUAGACCGGUUCAACUCCGGUCGUGGCCU
rnacentral:tRNA from 1 species